GCCCCCCUCAAGAUGAGAUUUCCCAACUAGUAAGACCCCUUGAAGACGACGAGGUAGAUAGGUUGGAGGUGGAAGUGCAGCAAUGCAUGGAGCUGACCAAUACUAAUCGGUCGAGGGCUUAUCCAAAU
rnacentral:rRNA from 1 species